rnacentral:sRNA from 1 species
ACGCGACACCGCCAACCAGUUGCUC